UACGGGGGGGGCAAGCGUUGUUCGGAAUUACUGGGCGUAAAGGGCUCGUAGGCGGCCAACUAAGUCAGACGUGAAAUCCCCAGGCUUAACCUGGGAACUGCGUCUGAUACUGGAUGGCUUGAAUUCGGGAGAGGGAUGCAGAAUUCCAGGUAUAGCGGUGAAAUGCGUAGAUAUCUGGAGGAAUACCGGUGGCGAAGGCGGCAUCCUGGACCGACAUUGACGCUGAGGAGCGAAAGCUAGGGGAGCAAACGGG
rnacentral:rRNA from 1 species